rnacentral:lncRNA from 1 species
UACAUGAUAGUUCAAAAUUAUCAGAUUUUUAUAACUGCAAGAAUUUCCCGAAGAUGCUGUUAAUGUCCUAAAAGGGUAAAGGCAAAGCAAGUAUUUUAGCAUCAGGCUGUUAUCUGAAAAAAAAAAAAAAAAAAAUCCAAAUUCUGCACUUCUAAUAUUUGCUAAAUGGAAUAGAAGACAUGGAAUCUCUUAGACCAGCUCAGAAUAAACAGCCCAUUACAGUGUGUAUUACAAGUUCAUUCUAUAUUAAAGCAGUAAAUCACUUAAUAGCAUGCCCAAAUCAUGCCAUGAAGGCAUUUGACAUUCUAUUUAAAACUAAUUUUGUAUUUAGCGUUCAAUAUGCACAUACAUCAACAAAUUUUUAUAAUUUUGUGGCAAGCCUUUUGUAUAAUGUCAGCACUCCUAGAGCUUGUGUGGACUCUUUAAAUACAUGUUUGAGUAUGAAUUUAUUGCAUUCUGUACAUGCAUUACAUUUCAUAUUUUUAAUGUCAU